rnacentral:tRNA from 2 species
GCCCGCGUGGUGGAAUGGUAGACACAGGGGACUUAAAAUCCCCAGGCUUCGGCCGUGCGGGUUCGAGUCCCGCCGCGGGUACCA